CUGCAUUUGCCUUUAUCAUCAUUGAUUUAAUAAUCAUAUGCUUUGUGUUUGUUGUACACUGCUUCAAACACACCUGCUUCCGUGCCACAAACAACAGCAACAACACAGAGUGAAAGUGUCACUCCAGGAGUCUCUACACAUUGUCCUGACUCCUCCUGGCUUCUGGUUGUGCGUGCGUCCUUGGAUGGUGUUUUGCUGAUGGCUGUUUUCCUCAUGCUCUUCUACAUUAGUAAGACAAGGAGGAACUUUGGACUGAACACCAGAGAAAAUGACACAAACAUGGAGGAUCCACCCUCCAGACAUAAAGAGUCCAAAAGGACCAGGGCCAAACCUACUCUGCAUUUUUAAAGACCAAAAUCUAAUAAUUGUAAACUUUACCUGUUUUACAUUUGGCCGAUGUACUGGCUUAUCUUCUUUUCCAACAAUGAUUUCAUUUUGAUAUUUUU
rnacentral:lncRNA from 1 species